GGGUGCGAUCAUACUAGCACUAAUGCACCGGAUCCCAUCAGAACUCCGCAGUUAAACGUGCUUGAUUGUUUAUUUCUCAAUUUAUUUUUGCCCUCA
rnacentral:rRNA from 1 species